rnacentral:sRNA from 1 species
AUUUUUUUUGUUUGUUUUUAAUGGUGUCCAAAACCACAAGAUAAAACCUACAUUCUGGUCCCUAAAGAACCACCACCCAGUGGGAAUGAUUGCAUAAUGGCGGAGUUCCAGAAUUUUCAGAACUAGAAUUACAACAGCGCUAAGGUGAGGGCGGAAAUUUUCACAUAAAACACGAAGAAGUUAAAACUGUCUUUGAUUCUGGAGAAGGGAGGGAUACUGGAGGAUACUUAGGUGCCGGAGGAGACGAGACGUCUUUCCAAGGAUCUGGGUGUUCUUGGGUACACCUUUGCAAGGCCCCUACCUCACCCUGACCCUCACGGGGCACCAGCUACCCCUACCCCAGCUCAGCCUCUAUUGUGAAGGCCUGCUUCCUGGGAGGGCGCAGAGGAAGCUGGAUCGCAUGCUGGGCUCUGCUGUGUGGAGUUUCCCGUGUUUGUUUUCCAUUCGUGUUCAGGAGAGUUCUAGCAAAUUCUCACCGCUCCCCACCGUGUUCAGGAGAAAAAGGAAGCCCUGGUGUUUUUCCACACUUGGGCCAGCGCAUGAAGAGCCUAGAGGCCUGGCUGCAGCUAGUCAACACAGAGUGACCUAGCUCUCAGGUGACUGUUUUAUAUUGAUGAAGGUUGGAAUGGAGACUAGAGUGUGAAAGGACAAAAUCCCAUUCUUCAACACAGCAUGUGUGGUGAGGAAGACAAAAAGAAGCUGGUGGAACAACUGUGGUGUAUUCCCUCACAUGUGGGAGCUAAACCGAGGUAAUCUAUGAGGAAAGUGAUUGCUUAGAGGCUACACAGAAGUUGGAUAAAGGGAAGCAAACACAGAGAUUUCAGAAUACAAUGAUGUGACAUUAGAUUACAGUAGAAAUUAGAUGUUUUGUUGGGCACGGUGUUUUCCC